rnacentral:lncRNA from 1 species
CUCAUCCCACUCUGAGGCGAAGGACGGUGACUUCUCCAGCCUCUUCUUCCCGAUGCUGCAGUUGGACAAGGACUCGCUGCGACUCCCCAUUGUGGCGUCCUCCGUGGGGGAGCAGGUCAGGAGGUCAGAGUCAGACUUAGACAAACUGCGGCUGAGUUUGAGUUCAGCUUUGGGCUUGCUGGUGGGAGGGGCUCUGCUUCUGGGCCCGCUCUGGUCUUCUUCCUCAGCACCAGCAGGGUGCAGAGGUACUGCGUGAGUCAAUGUGUCGUCGAGGUAUGUCCUGCUGGCCGGGGUUGUCAGGACUUAAAUAUGUAAGGGAUUCUCCCCACGUCCUCUGUAAGCUCCCUGGUAUCUCAGUUCCGUGUGAACAUAACCUUAGCCUGGAAAUGCAGCUGGAAUGGGUAACUGAAAACUAAAAGUAAUGCUUGUUAGGAUUAUAGGUGUGUGUCAUGUCUAGCCUCCUCCAUCUUUUAGGUUCAUCCUUUCUUCCUUUCUUCCUUCCUUUCUUUCUUUGUAUUUUGCACAUGAAAGAUUUAUUUAUUAUUAUAUGUAAGUACACUGUCGCUGUCCUCAGACACACCAGAAGAGGGCAUCAGAUCCCACUACAGAUGGUAGUGAACCACCAUGUGGGUGCUGGAAUUGAACUCAGAAC